rnacentral:rRNA from 1 species
AUUGAACGCUGGCGGCAGGCCUAACACAUGCAAGUCGAACGGUAACAGAAAGCAGCUUGCUGCUUUGCUGACGAGUGGCGGACGGGUGAGUAAUGUCUGGGAAACUGCCUGAUGGAGGGGGAUAACUACUGGAAACGGUAGCUAAUACCGCAUAACGUCGCAAGACCAAAGAGGGGGACCUUCGGGCCUCUUGCCAUCGGCUGUGCCCAGAUGGGAUUAGCUAGUAGGUGGGGUAACGGCUCACCUAGGCGACGAUCCCUAGCUGGUCUGAGAGGAUGACCAGCCACACUGGAACUGAGACACGGUCCAGACUCCUACGGGAGGCAGCAGUGGGGAAUAUUGCACAAUGGGCGCAAGCCUGAUGCAGCCAUGCCGCGUGUAUGAAGAAGGCCUUCGGGUUGUAAAGUACUUUCAGCGGGGAGGAAGGGAGUAAAGUUAAUACCUUGGCUCAUUGACGUUACCCGCAGAAGAAGCACCGGCUAACUACGUG